rnacentral:rRNA from 1 species
UACAUAUAUAUAUAUAUAUAUAUAUAUAUAUAUAUUAGUUUUUGAAUAAUUAAUAAAAAUAUUUUUAAUUUUAAAGUUUAAGUAUAAUUUAGAAAAAAUUUUAAUUGUUAUAGUAAAAUAGUAUUGUGAAAGAAAAUUGAAAUAUAAAUUAAUUUUUAGAAAGUAGAAUUAAUUUUUUGUACCUUGUGUAUCAGGGUUUAUUAAAUAAAUAUUAAAUAUUUAAUUUUCUCGAAUUAAAGAGAUCUAAUAAAAAAUUUUAGUUAUUGUUAUAUAAAUAUUAAAAAUUUUUUAUUAGUAAUGAAAUGUUAUUCGUUCUUUAAAAUAUCUAGUUUUUUUAGAAAUAAAUUUAAUUUAGAUGUAUUAAAAAAUAAUUUUUAUUAAUAAGAAUUAUUAAAUUAUACAUUAAUAUUUUAAGGGAUAAGCUUUAAAAUAAAAUUUUAUAAUAUAAUAAGUUAAUUUUAAUUUUGUAGAUUUAGAAAUAGUUAUCAAUAAAAGAUUGUUAUAAAUUAUUUAAUAUAAUAUUUAAUUUAUAUAAUAUUUAAAUUUUUUAUAAAAAUAAUAAUUUUAAUUUUUCAAAUUAAGUAAUAAUGAUAAAAUUAGUAUAAUUUUUUGUAAGAAAUUUUAUAAGUGAUAAUUAAUUUUAAGGAAUUAGGCAAUCUAAAUUAUUCGCCUGUUUAUCAAAAACAUGUCUUUUUGUUAAUAAUUUAAAGUCUAACCUGCCCCCUGAUUUAUUUAAUGGCCGCAGUAUUUUGACUGUGCAAAGGUAGCAUAAUAAUUAGUUUUUUAAUUGAAAGCUAGAAUGAAUGGUUGAACGAAAUAAAAUCUGUCUCAAAUUUAAAAUUUAAAAUUUAAUUUUUAAGUUAAAAAGCUUAAAUAAAUAUAAAAGACGAGAAGACCCUAUAGAGCUUUAUAUAAAUUUUAUUUAUGUAUUUAUAGAAUUUUUUUUUUGUAAUUAUUAUUUGUAUUUUAUUGGGGUGAUAGAAAAAUUUAAAUAACUUUUUUUUUUAAAAAACAUUAAUUUAUGAAAAAUUGAUCCAUUAAUUAUGAUUAAAAGAAAAAGUUACCUUAGGGAUAACAGCGUAAUUUUUUUAAAGAGUUCAUAUCGAAAAAAAAGAUUGCGACCUCGAUGUUGGAUUAAAAAUUAGUUUUGGUGUAGAAGCUAAAAUCUUUGGUCUGUUCGACCAUUAAAUUUUUACAUGAUCUGAGUUCAAACCGGUGUAAGCCAGGUUGGUUUCUAUCUUUAUAAUAUAAGAAUAUUUUAGUACGAAAGGACCAAAUAUUUGAUAUAAUAUUUAUUUUUUGAAUGUUAUUAAAUAGAAAUUAUUUUGGCAGAUUAGUGCAAUGAAUUUAGAAUUCAUA